AUUGAACGCUGGCGGCAGGCCUAACACAUGCAAGUCGAACGGUAACAGGAAGAAGCUUGCUUCUUUGCUGACGAGUGGCGGACGGGUGAGUAAUGUCUGGGAAACUGCCUGAUGGAGGGGGAUAACUACUGGAAACGGUAGCUAAUACCGCAUAACGUCGCAAGACCAAAGAGGGGGACCUUCGGGCCUCUUGCCAUCGGAUGUGCCCAGAUGGGAUUAGCUAGUAGGUGGGGUAACGGCUCACCUAGGCGACGAUCCCUAGCUGGUCUGAGAGGAUGACCAGCCACACUGGAACUGAGACACGGUCCAGACUCCUACGGGAGGCAGCAGUGGGGAGUAUUGCACAAUGGGCGCAAGCCUGAUGCAGCCAUGCCGCGUGUAUGAAGAAGGCCUUCGGGUUGUAAAGUACUUUCAGCGGGGAGGAAGGGAGUAAAGUUAAUACCUUGACUCAUUGACGUUACCCGCAGAAGAAGCACCGGCUAACUCCGUG
rnacentral:rRNA from 1 species